AUGUCUGUGGCGAAAUUGACUACCUUCGUUUUUUUGAUUAAGAAUGAUUUUAUUAUCGUAAGUAAAAUUACAUGAACAUUUAAAAAGGAAAACGACAUGAAACCAAAGCACAGAAUCAACAUUCU
rnacentral:misc_RNA from 2 species